UACGUAGGGGGCGAGCGUUGUCCGGAUUUAUUGGGCGUAAAGAGCUCGUAGGCGGUUUGUCGCGUCUGCUGUGAAAACCCGAGGCUCAACCUCGGGCCUGCAGUGGGUACGGGCAGACUAGAGUGCGGUAGGGGAGAUUGGAAUUCCUGGUGUAGCGGUGGAAUGCGCAGAUAUCAGGAGGAACACCAAGUGGCGAAGGCAGAUCUCUGGGCCGUAACUGACGCUGAGGAGCGAAAGCAUGGGGAGCGAACAGG
rnacentral:rRNA from 1 species